rfam:Rhizoctonia solani AG-8 WAC10335 unplaced genomic scaffold Scaffold_7, whole genome shotgun sequence.
GGUUAUAUAGUGUAGUGGUUAGCACCCGGGAUUUUGAGUGUAAUCACCUUCCCGUAACCCAAGUUCGACUCUUGGUAUGACCA